CCAGCCGGCCGGGCGGCCGCGGUGCCUUGUGCAUCGAGGAAAGUCCGGGCUCCACGGAGACACGGUGCCGGAUAACGUCCGGCGGGGGCGACCCUAGGGAAAGUGCCACAGAAAUCAGACCGCCCGCGCGUGCGCGGGUAAGGGUGAAACGGUGGGGUAAGAGCCCACCGCGCGACCGGCAACGGAAGCGGCACGGCAAACCCCACCGGGAGCAAGGUCGAAUAGGGACGGCACGGGCGCGCAAGCGCCCAAUCCGGUCUUCGGAUCGUCGUCCGGGUUGACUGCCAGAGGCGCCGGGUAACCGGCGUCCCAGAGGAAUGGCCGCCACGUGGGAGAAAUCCCGCCAUACAGAACCCGGCUUACAGGCCGGCUGGUGCU
rnacentral:RNase_P_RNA from 22 species